AACAAACGCUGGCGGCGUGCCUAAUACAUGCAAGUCGAACGGGGAAAGCUUUCGGGUGAGUACUAGUGGCGCACGGGUGAGGAACGCGUGGAUAAUCUGCCUUAGAGUGGGGGAUAACUAGUCGAAAGAUUAGCUAAUACCGCAUAAGACCACGAGAGCUGCGGCUUUGGAGGUCAAAGGUUUUUCGCUCUAAGAUGAGUCCGCGUAAGAUUAGCUAGUUGGUGAGGUAACGGCUCACCAAGGCGACGAUCUUUAACUGGUCUGAGAGGAUGAUCAGUCACACUGGCACUGAGACACGCUCCAGACUCCUACGGGAGGCGGCAGGAGGGAAUAUUGCACAAUGGAGGAAACUCUGAUGCAGCGACGCCGCGUGAGUGAUGAAGGCCUUCGGGUCGUAAAGCUCUGUCGCAGGGGAAUAACACAAUGACGGUACCCUGUAAGAAAGGAUCGGCUAACUUCGUG
rnacentral:rRNA from 1 species